GGACCCGCACAAGUAGUGGAGCAUGUGGUUUAAUUCGAAGAUACGCGCAGAACCUUACCAACACUUGACAUGUUCGUCGCGACUCUAAGAGAUUAGUUUCUUCAGUUCGGCUGGACGAAACACAGGUGCUGCAUGGCUGUCGUCAGCUCGUGUCGUGAGAUGUUGGGUUAAGUCCCGCAACGAGCGCAACCCUCACUUUUAGUUGCCAUCAUUUAGUUGGGCACUCUAAGGAGACUCCCGGUGUUAAACCGGCGGAAGAUGGGGAUGACGUCAAGUCCUCAUGGCCCUUACGGCUGGGGCUACACACGUACUACAAUGGCAACUACAAAGAGCAGCGAAGUCGCGAGGCCAAGCAAAUCUCAAAAAAGUUGCCUCAGUUCGGAUUGGAGUCUGCAACUCGAGAACAUGAAGUCGGAAUCGCUAGUAAUCGU
rnacentral:rRNA from 1 species